CAGUCGCCGCGGUAAUACGAAGGGGGCUAGCGUUGAUCGGAAUUACUGGGCGUAAAGCGUGCGCAGGCGGUUUGUUAAGACAGAUGUGAAAUCCCCGGGCUCAACCUGGGAACUGCAUUUGUGACUGGCAAGCUAGAGUCUGGCAGAGGGGGGUGGAAUUCCGCGUGUAGCAGUGAAAUGCGUAGAGAUCGGGAGGAACAUCAGUGGCGAAGGCGGCCAUCUGGGACAACACUGACGCUGAAGCACGAAAGCGUGGGGAGCAAACAGGAUUAGAUACCCCCGUAGUCCCUGUCUCUUAUAC
rnacentral:rRNA from 1 species